AAAACUUCCACCCCCUCUUAAUUCGAAACAAACAGUUUACACAACAAACCCCCUAACAACACUUCUUCCUUUCUUCGAAACACACCCUCCUCUUCUUUGAAACAAUGCCUUAAAAGCGAAAACCCUAACGGCGGCGGCGCUCUUCACCUAACGGCGGCGGCGCUCUUCACCUAACAUAGAGCUCAUCGCCGGUGCCCUCACUGUCUCCCCCAAUAACACUCGUUGGUCAACCUCGUUCCAACCCUCUCUAGCAACCCCUUCGUAGGUGCCACCUCUGCCGGUGUUCCCUGCGUCGGCGCUCCUUCCGUCUUUCCUGUAAACACGUAUCCCUCCUUCGGCGGUGACUCACUCUGGUAAGGCCUCCCUUGGCGCUCACUAUCGCAAACCCUCCGUCGACGCUCACUCUCUCUCGCAAACCCUCAAUCGUCACUCCUCCCUCCAUGGUUCAGCACCCGCCGCGUUGCCGUCUCCCUCUCUGAAGUCGUCGCGCCGCCGUCUCCAUCUCCGUCACUCGUCGCACCUCCGUCAGCCACGUUCAGCAUUCGCAGCACCGUGGAAUUGAAACAACAAGGGAUACAAGAAGAAAGGCUGCAGCUGCUUGUUAAUGUUACUGGAGCUUUUAGGCCUGGAGUGUUGACAACAUUGGUUGGAGUAAGCGGGGCUGGAAAAACCAUGCUAAUGGAUGUCUUGGCUGGAAGAAAAACUGGAGGUGUUGUGAAGAUACAAAGCUGGUUUGAGGAUAGGCUCCAAGACUUACCAGAUGACCCUAAUAAUGAAUUGAUGAUUCCCGAAGACCCUGAAUGUAAUAAGGAAGGUGAGCUCUCUUAAAUGCCUAAG